GGGGGUGUAGCUUCAUGGUAGAGUGUUUGUCUGGCAUAGUUGAGGCCCUGGGUUCAAUCCCCAGCACCACCC
rnacentral:tRNA from 1 species